rnacentral:rRNA from 1 species
AGUGAAUAGAUACCCAGGUAGUCCUAGCCGUAAACGAUACUCGCUAGGUGUCGGCCACGGUGCGACCGUUGUCGGUGCCGUAGGGAAAGCCGUGAAGCGAGCCACCUGGGAAGUACGGCCGCAAGGCUGAAACUUAAAGGAAUUGGCGGGGGAGCACCACAACGGGUGGAGCUUGCGGUUUAAAUUGGAUUCAACGCCGGAAAUCUUACCGGGACCGACAGCAACAUGAAGGCCAGGCUGAAGACUUUGCCGGAUUAGCUGAGAGGUGGUGCAUGGCCGUCGUCAGUUCGUACUGUGAAGCAUCCUGUUAAGUCAGGCAACGAGCGAGACCCACGCCCACAGUUGCCAGCGUACUCUCCGGAGUGACGGGUACACUGUGGGGACCGCCGCUGCUAAAGCGGAGGAAGGAAUGGGCAACGGUAGGUCAGUAUGCCCCGAAUAUCCCGGGCUACACGCGAGCUACAAUGGUUGGUACAAUGGGUAUCUACCCCGAAAGGGGAUGGAAAUCUCCUAAAGCCAAUCUUAGUUCGGAUUGAGGGCUGCAACUCGCCCUC